rnacentral:rRNA from 1 species
UACGUAGGGGGCAAGCGUUGUCCGGAAUUAUUGGGCGUAAAGAGCGUGUAGGCGGCCAGAUAAGUCCGCUGUGAAAUCUCGAGGCUCAACUUCGAGCUGUCGGUGGAAACUAUCUGGCUAGAGUCCGGAAGAGGAGAAUGGAAUUCCUGGUGUAGCGGUGAAAUGCGCAGAUAUCAGGAGGAACACCAGUGGCGAAGGCGGCUUUCUGGACGGUAACUGACGCUGAGACGCGAAAGCGUGGGGAGCAAACAGG